rnacentral:rRNA from 1 species
UACGUAGGGGGCGAGCGUUGUCCGGAAUGACUGGGCGUAAAGGGCGUGUAGGCGGCCGAUUAAGUCCGGAGUGAAAGUCCUGCUUUCAAGGUGGGAAUUGCUUUGGAAACUGGUUGGCUUGAGUGCGGAAGAGGUAAGUGGAAUUCCCAGUGUAGCGGUGAAAUGCGUAGAGAUUGGGAGGAACACCAGUGGCGAAGGCGACUUACUGGGCCGUAACUGACGCUGAGGCGCGAAAGCGUGGGGAGCGAACAGGAUUAGAUACCCUGGUAGUCCCUGAGCGGGCU